GCGAAUAGCAAUCUAUCGGGUCCUUGCGCCGCACGAGCAUUGAGCUUGUGUCCAAGGAUAAUAGGGAAGCCGGUGUGAACCCGGCUCGGUCCCGCCACUGUAAUUGAGUGCUGCGCUCAGAAUGCCACUGUCUGUGCGGAUUCAAGCGAAUCCGCCGAUGGGAAGGCGAGUACAGCAAGAUGCUCCUAAGUCAGAAGACCUGCCCGAUAGGAGGACGAGUU
rnacentral:ncRNA from 2 species